rnacentral:rRNA from 1 species
AACGUAGGAGACAAACGUUAUCCGGAGUUACUGGGCGUAAAGGGCGUGUAGGUGGUUCUGUAAGUCUGGCGUGAAAGUUUUCGGCUUAACCGGGAAAGGUCGUCGGAUACUGCAGGGCUAGAGGACGGUAGAGGCGUGUGGAAUUCCGGGUGUAGUGGUGAAAUGCGUAGAGAUCCGGAGGAACACCAGUGGCGAAGGCGACACGCUGGGCCGUACCUGACACUGAUGCGCGACAGCAUGGGGAGCAAACAGG